UCGGGAAUUUUGGGCAAUGGGCGAAAGCCUGACCCAGCAACGCCGCGUGAGGGAUGAAGUAUUUCGGUAUGUAAACCUCGAAAGAAUGGGAAGAAUAAAUGACGGUACCAUUUAUAAGCUCCGGCUAACUACGUGCCAGCAGCCGCGGUAAUACGUAGGGAGCAAGCGUUGUUCGGAUUUACUGGGCGAAAAGGGCGCGUAGGCGGCGCGGUAAGUCACUUGUGAAAUCUCUGAGCUUAACUCAGAACGGCCAAGUGAUACUGCUGUGCUAGAGUGCGGAAGAGGCAACCGGAAUUCUUGGUGUAGCGGUGAAAUGCGUAGAUAUCAAGAGGAACACCUGAGGCGAAGGCGGGUUGCUGGGCCGACACUGACGCUGAUGCGCGAAAGCCAGGG
rnacentral:rRNA from 1 species